CUGACUGCUAUCGGAUUGGUACUAAGCCAUGUGAGUCAUUGUAGCAAUACAAGGCAUACGGCUCAGUAACACGUAGUCAAUCUGCCCUAUGGACGUGGAUAACCUCGGGAAGCUGAGAAUAAUCCGCGAUAGAUCAUAAUGCCUGGAACGGUUUAUGGUCCAAAUGAUUCGUCGCCAUAGGAUGGGACUGCGGCCUAUCAGCUUGUUGGUGAGGUAAUGGCCCACCAAGGCUAUUACAGGUACGGGCUCUGAGAGGAGAAGCCCGGAGAUGGGUACUGAGACACGGACCCAGGCCCUAUGGGGCGCAGCAGGCGAGAAACCUUUGCAAUGUGCGCAAGCACGACAAGGUUAAUCCGAGUGUUUCCUGCUAAAGGAAUCUUUUGUUAGUUCUAAAACCACUGAUGAAUAAGGGGUGGGCAAGUUCUGGUGUCAGCCGCCGCGGUAAAACCAGCACCUCAAGUGGUCAGGAGGAUUAUUGGGCCUAAAGCAUCCGUAGCCGGUUCUGUAAGUUUUCGGUUAAAUCCACUAGCUCAACUAAUGGGCUGCCGGAAAUACUGCAGAACUAGGGAGUGGGAGAGGUAGACGGUACUCGGGAGGAAGGGGUAAAAUCCUUUGAUCUCUUGAUGACCACCUGUGGCGAAGGCGGUCUACCAGAACACGUUCGACGGUGAGGGAUGAAAGCUGGGGGAGCAAACCGGAUUAGAUACCCGGGUAGUCCCAGCUGUAAACGGUGCAGACUCGGUGAUGCACUGGCUUUUGGCCAGUGCAGUGCCGCAGGGAAGCCGUUAAGUUUGCCGCCUGGGAAGUACGUACGCAAGUAUGAAACUUAAAGGAAUUGGCGGGGGAGCACCACAAGGGGUGAAGCCUGCGGUUCAAUUGGAUCAACGCC
rnacentral:rRNA from 1 species